GAUGAACGCUGGCGGCGUGCCUAAUACAUGCAAGUCGAGCGAACAGACGAGGAGCUUGCUCCUCUGACGUUAGCGGCGGACGGGUGAGUAACACGUGGAUAACCUACCUAUAAGACUGGGAUAACUUCGGGAAACCGGAGCUAAUACCGGAUAAUAUAUUGAACCGCAUGGUUCAAUAGUGAAAGACGGUUUUGCUGUCACUUAUAGAUGGAUCCGCGCCGCAUUAGCUAGUUGGUAAGGUAACGGCUUACCAAGGCAACGAUGCGUAGCCGACCUGAGAGGGUGAUCGGCCACACUGGAGCUGAGCCAGGGUCCAGACUCGUACGGGAGGCAGCAGUAGGGGAUCUUCCGCAAUGGGCGAAAUCCUGACGGAGCAACGCCGCGUGAGGGAUGAAGGUCUUCGGAUCGUAAAACUCUGUGAAUAGGGAAGAACAAAGGUGUAAGUAACUAUGCACGUCGUGACGGUACCUAAUCAGAAAGCCACGGCUAACUACGGG
rnacentral:rRNA from 1 species